CGGGAUGUAGCGCAGUUUGGUAGCGCACUUCGUUCGGGACGAAGGGGCCGCAGGUUCGAAUCCUGUCAUCCCGA
rnacentral:tRNA from 2 species